rnacentral:rRNA from 1 species
AAUGAACGUUGGCGGCGUGGAUUAGGCAUGCAAGUCGAGCGACGGGCCCCUUUCGGGGGGCUACGGAGCGGCAAACGGGGUAGUAAGGCGUAGGUGACGUACCCCAGGAUCUGGGAUAGCCACGGGAAACCGUGGGUAAUACCGGAUAAUCUCCCGAGUCAUUGCGGUCUUGGGAGCAAAGGUGUGAUUCCGUCCUGGGAGCGGCUUACGUGAUACUAGCUAGUUGGUGGGGUAACGGCCUACCAAGGCGAUGAUGUCUAGGGGGUGUGAGAGCAUGGCCCCCACCACUGGGACUGAGACACGGCCCAGACACCUACGGGUGGCUGCAGUCGAGAAUCUUCGGCAAUGGGCGAAAGCCUGACCGAGCGACGCCGCGUGCGGGAUGAAGGCCCUCGGGUUGUAAACCGCUGUCAGAGGGGAUGAAAUCACCGGGAGUUCUCUCCCGGUGUUGACAGAGCCUCAGAGGAAGCACGGGCUAAGUACGUGCCAGCCGCCGCCGUAACAC